rnacentral:rRNA from 1 species
GUAAGAGUUUGAUCCUGGCUCAGGACGAACGCUGGCGGCGUGCUUAACACAUGCAAGUCGAACGGUGAAGCCCUUCGGGGUGGAUCAGUGGCGAACGGGUGAGUAACACGUGGGAAAUCUGCCCUGCACUCUGGGACAAGCCUUGGAAACGAGGUCUAAUACCGGAUAUGACCUGCUCCUGCAUGGGAGUGGGUGGAAAGCUCCGGCGGUGCAGGAUGAUCCCGCGGCCUAUCAGCUUGUUGGUGGGGUAAUGGCCUACCAAGGCGACGACGGGUAGCCGGCCUGAGAGGGCGACCGGCCACACUGGGACUGAGACACGGCCCAGACUCCUACGGGAGGCAGCAGUGGGGAAUAUUGCACAAUGGGCGAAAGCCUGAUGCAGCGACGCCGCGUGAGGGAUGACGGCCUUCGGGUUGUAAACCUCUUUCAGCAGGGAAGAAGCGCAAGUGACGGUACCUGCAGAAGAAGCACCGGCUAACUACGUGCCAGCAGCC